UCCUAGGUAGCUCAGUGGUUAAAGCACUCAUCUUGAGCGUGAGAUCUACAGCCUAGGUUCAAUCCCAGCUGUGUCA